UACAGAGGGGGCAAGCGUUGUUCGGAAUUACUGGGCGUAAAGGGCGCGUAGGUGGCCUUCUAAGUUGAACGUGAAAUCCCUGGGCUCAACCCAUGAACUGCGUCCAAGACUGGGAGGCUUGAAUCCGGGAGAGGGAUGCGGAAUUCCAGGUGUAGCGGUGAAAUGCGUAGAUAUCUGGAGGAACACCGGUGGCGAAGGCGGCAUCCUGGACCGGUAUUGACACUGAGGCGCGAAAGCCAGGGGAGCAAACGGG
rnacentral:rRNA from 1 species